UUUUAUUAAAAUUAAAAAAUUUAAUUUAAAUAUUAAAUGUAGAUCAUUAAAAAUAAAAAAUUUGGCGGUAUUUAAUAUUUAGAGGAACUUGUUUAUUAAAUUGAUAAUCCACGAGUAGAAAAACUUAAAUUAUUUUUUAUGUAUUGUUGUUGAAAAAUUAUAUUAAUAGGUAAUAAUUAAUAAAUUUAAUUUUUAAAUUAUAAUUCAAAUCAAAAUGUAGAAUAAUUAAGAGUUUAAUGAGUUACAAUUAAUUUAAUUAUUGAAUUUUAAAAUUUAAUUUUAUAAAUGAAAAUGGAUUUAAAAGUAAAUUUAUAUAAAUUUAUAGGUGAA
rnacentral:rRNA from 1 species